rnacentral:rRNA from 1 species
CAUGCCGGGUGUAUGAAGAAGGCCUUCGGGUUGUAAAGUACUUUCAGCAGUGAGGAAGGUGGGUAUGUUAAUAGCAUAUUCAUUUGACGUUAGCUGCAGAAGAAGCACCGGCUAACUCCGUGCCAGCAGCCGCGGUAAUACGGAGGGUGCGAGCGUUAAUCGGAAUUACUGGGCGUAAAGCGCAUGCAGGUGGUUUGUUAAGUCAGAUGUGAAAGCCCGGGGCUCAACCUCGGAAUUGCAUUUGAAACUGGCAAACUAGAGUACUGUAGAGGGGGGUAGAAUUUCAGGUGUAGCGGUGAAAUGCGUAGAGAUCUGAAGGAAUACCGGUGGCGAAGGCGGCCCCCUGGACAGAUACUGACACUCAGAUGCGAAAGCGUGGGGAGCAAACAGGAUUAGAUACCCUGGUAGUCCACGCCGUAAACGAUGUCUACUUGGAGGUUGUGGCCUUGAGCCGUGGCUUUCGGAGCUAACGCGUUAAGUAGACCGCCUGGGGAGUACGGUCGCAAGAUUAAAACUCAAAUGAAUUGACGGGGGCCCGCACAAGCGGUGGAGCAUGUGGUUUAAUUCGAUGCAACGCGAAGAACCUUACCUACUCUUGACAUCUACAGAAGCCAGCGGAGACGCAGGUGUGCCUUCGGGAACUGUAAGACAGGUGCUGCAUGGCUGUCGUCAGCUCGUGUUGUGAAAUGUUGGGUUAAGUCCCGCAACGAGCGCAACCCUUAUCCUUGUUUGCCAGCACUUCGGGUGGGAACUCCAGGGAGACUGCCGGUGAUAAACCGGAGGAAGGUGGGGACGACGUCAAGUCAUCAUGGCCCUUACGAGUAGGGCUACACACGUGCUACAAUGGCGCAUACAGAGGGCGGCCAACUUGCGAAAGUGAGCGAAUCCCAAAAAGUGCGUCGUAGUCCGGAUUGGAGUCUGCAACUCGACUCCAUGAAGUCGGAAUCGCUAGUAAUCGUGGAUCAGAAUGCCACGGUGAAUACGUUCCCGGGCCUUGUACACACCGCCCGUCACACCAUGGGAGUGGGCUGCAAAAGAAGUGGGUAGUUUAACCUUCGGGAGGACGCUCACCACUUUGUGGUUCAUGACUGGGGUGAAGUCGUAACAAGGUAACCG